rnacentral:rRNA from 1 species
UUAAGUUAGAAAGGGCGCACGGUGGAUGCCUUGACACUAGGAGUCGAUGAAGGACGGGACUAACGCCGAUAUGCUUCGGGGAGCUGUAAGUAAGCUUUGAUCCGAAGAUUUCCGAAUGGGGAAACCCACCAUACGUAAUGGUAUGGUAUCCUUAUCUGAAUACAUAGGGUAAGGAAGACAGACCCAGGGAACUGAAACAUCUAAGUACCUGGAGGAAGAGAAAGCAAAUGCGAUUUCCUGAGUAGCGGCGAGCGAAACGGAACAUAGCCCAAACCAAGAGGCUUGCCUCUUGGGGUUGUAGGACAUUCUAUACGGAGUUACAAAGGAACGAGGUAGACGAAGCGACCUGGAAAGGUCCGUCGUAGAGGGUAACAACCCCGUAGUCGAAACUUCGUUCUCUCUUGAAUGUAUCCUGAGUACGGCGGAACACGUGAAAUUCCGUCGGAAUCUGGGAGGACCAUCUCCCAAGGCUAAAUACUCCCUAGUGAUCGAUAGUGAACCAGUACCGUGAGGGAAAGGUGAAAAGCACCCCGGAAGGGGAGUGAAAGAGAUCCUGAAACCGUGUGCCUACAAAUAGUCAGAGCCCGUUAAUGGGUGAUGGCGUGCCUUUUGUAGAAUGAACCGGCGAGUUACGAUCCCGUGCGAGGUUAAGCUGAAGAGGCGGAGCCGCAGCGAAAGCGAGUCUGAAUAGGGCGUUUAGUACGUGGUCGUAGACCCGAAACCAGGUGAUCUACCCAUGUCCAGGGUGAAGUUCAGGUAACACUGAAUGGAGGCCCGAACCCACGCACGUUGAAAAGUGCGGGGAUGAGGUGUGGGUAGCGGAGAAAUUCCAAUCGAACCUGGAGAUAGCUGGUUCUCCCCGAAAUAGCUUUAGGGCUAGCCUUAAGUGUAAGAGUCUUGGAGGUAGAGCACUGAUUGGACUAGGGGUCCUCAUCGGAUUACCGAAUUCAGUCAAACUCCGAAUGCCAAUGACUUAUCCUUAGGAGUCAGACUGCGAGUGAUAAGAUCCGUAGUCAAAAGGGAAACAGCCCAGACCGCCAGCUAAGGUCCCAAAGUGUGUAUUAAGUGGAAAAGGAUGUGGAGUUGCUUAGACAACUAGGAUGUUGGCUUAGAAGCAGCCACCAUUUAAAGAGUGCGUAAUAGCUCACUAGUCGAGUGACUCUGCGCCGAAAAUGUACCGGGGCUAAAUACACCACCGAAGCUGCGGAUUGAUACCAAUGGUAUCAGUGGUAGGGGAGCGUUCUAAGGACAGUGAAGUCAGACCGGAAGGACUGGUGGAGUGCUUAGAAGUGAGAAUGCCGGUAUGAGUAGCGAAAGACGGGUGAGAAUCCCGUCCACCGAAUGCCUAAGGUUUCCUGAGGAAGGCUCGUCCGCUCAGGGUUAGUCAGGACCUAAGCCGAGGCCGACAGGCGUAGGCGAUGGACAACAGGUUGAUAUUCCUGUACCACCUCUUUAUCGUUUGAGCAAUGGAGGGACGCAGAAGGAUAGAAGAAGCGUGCGAUUGGUUGUGCACGUCCAAGCAGUUAGGCUGAUAAGUAGGCAAAUCCGCUUAUCGUGAAGGCUGAGCUGUGAUGGGGAAGCUCCUUAUGGAGCGAAGUCUUUGAUUCCCCGCUGCCAAGAAAAGCUUCUAGCGAGAUAAAAGGUGCCUGUACCGCAAACCGACACAGGUAGGCGAGGAGAGAAUCCUAAGGUGUGCGAGAGAACUCUGGUUAAGGAACUCGGCAAAAUGACCCCGUAACUUCGGGAGAAGGGGUGCUUUCUUAACGGAAAGCCGCAGUGAAUAGGCCCAAGCGACUGUUUAGCAAAAACACAGCUCUCUGCGAAGCCGUAAGGCGAAGUAUAGGGGGUGACACCUGCCCGGUGCUGGAAGGUUAAGGAGAGGGGUUAGCGUAAGCGAAGCUCUGAACUGAAGCCCCAGUAAACGGCGGCCGUAACUAUAACGGUCCUAAGGUAGCGAAAUUCCUUGUCGGGUAAGUUCCGACCCGCACGAAAGGUGUAACGAUUUGGGCACUGUCUCAACCAGAGACUCGGUGAAAUUAUAGUACCUGUGAAGAUGCAGGUUACCCGCGACAGGACGGAAAGACCCCGUGGAGCUUUACUGUAGCCUGAUAUUGAAUUUUGGUACAGUUUGUACAGGAUAGGCGGGAGCCUUUGAAACCGGAGCGCUAGCUUCGGUGGAGGCGCUGGUGGGAUACCGCCCUGACUGUAUUGAAAUUCUAACCUACGGGUCUUAUCGACCCGGGAGACAGUGUCAGGUGGGCAGUUUGACUGGGGCGGUCGCCUCCUAAAGUGUAACGGAGGCGCCCAAAGGUUCCCUCAGAAUGGUUGGAAAUCAUUUGUAGAGUGCAAAGGCAUAAGGGAGCUUGACUGCGAGACCUACAAGUCGAGCAGGGACGAAAGUCGGGCUUAGUGAUCCGGUGGUUCCGCAUGGAAGGGCCAUCGCUCAACGGAUAAAAGCUACCCCGGGGAUAACAGGCUUAUCUCCCCCAAGAGUCCACAUCGACGGGGAGGUUUGGCACCUCGAUGUCGGCUCAUCGCAUCCUGGGGCUGUAGUCGGUCCCAAGGGUUGGGCUGUUCGCCCAUUAAAGCGGUACGCGAGCUGGGUUCAGAACGUCGUGAGACAGUUCGGUCCCUAUCCGUCGUGGGCGUAGGAAAUUUGAGAGGAGCUGUCCUUAGUACGAGAGGACCGGGAUGGACGCACCGCUGGUGUACCAGUUGUUCUGCCAAGGGCAUAGCUGGGUAGCUAUGUGCGGAAGGGAUAAGUGCUGAAAGCAUCUAAGCAUGAAGCCCCCCUCAAGAUGAGAUUUCCCAUAGCGUAAGCUAGUAAGAUCCCUGAAAGAUGAUCAGGUUGAUAGGUUCGAGGUGGAAGCAUGGUGACAUGUGGAGCUGACGAAUACUAAUAGAUCGAGGACUUAACCAU